GAAUAGGGGAGCCGAAGGGAAACCGAGUCUUAACUGGGCGUUAAGUUGCAGGGUAUAGACCCGAAACCCGGUGAUCUAGCCAUGGGCAGGUUGAAGGUUGGGUAACACUAACUGGAGGACCGAACCGACUAAUGUUGAAAAAUUAGCGGAUGACUUGUGGCUGGGGGUGAAAGGCCAAUCAAACCGGGAGAUAGCUGGUUCUCCCCGAAAGCUAUUUAGGUAGCGCCUCGUGAAUUCAUCUCCGGGGGUAGAGCACUGUUUCGGCAAGGGGGUCAUCCCGACUUACCAACCCGAUGCAAACUGCGAAUACCGGAGAAUGUUAUCACGGGAGACACACGGCGGGUGCUAACGUCCGUCGUGAAGAGGGAAACAACCCAGACCGCCAGCUAAGGUCCCAAAGUCAUGGUUAAGUGGGAAACGAUGUGGGAAGGCCCAGACAGCCAGGAUGUUGGCUUAGAAGCAGCCAUCAUUUAAAGAAAGCGUAAUAGCUCACUGGUCGAGUCGGCCUGCGCGGAAGAUGUAACGGGGCUAAACCAUGCAC
rnacentral:rRNA from 1 species